rnacentral:rRNA from 1 species
UACGGAGGGUGCGAGCGUUAUCCGGAUUUAUUGGGUUUAAAAGGGUGCGUAGGCGGCUUUUUAAGUCAGCGGUGAAAUUUUGCAGCUUAACUGUAACAGUGCCGUUGAUACUGGGGAGCUAGGAUUUGGUUGCUGUGGGUGGAAUGUGUGGUGUAGCGGUGAAAUGCUUAGAGAUCACACAGAAUAUCGAUUGCGAAGGCAGCUCACAAAGCCAAGAUUGACGCUGAGGCACGAAAGUGUGGGGAUCAAACAGGAUUAGA